rnacentral:rRNA from 1 species
CGACACGGGGAGGUAGUGACAAUAAAUACUGAUACAGGGCUCUUUUGGGUCUUGUAAUUGGAAUGAGUACAAUUUAAAUCCCUUAACGAGGAACAAUUGGAGGGCAAGUCUGGUGCCAGCAGCCGCGGUAAUUCCAGCUCCAAUAGCGUAUAUUAAAGUUGUUGCAGUUAAAAAGCUCGUAGUUGAACCUUGGGCCUGGCUGGCCGGUCCGCCUCACCGCGUGUACUGGUCCGGCCGGGCCUUUCCUUCUGGGGAACCUCAUGCCCUUCACUGGGCGUGUUGGGGAACCAGGACUUUUACUUUGAAAAAAUUAGAGUGUUCAAAGCAGGCCUUUGCUCGAAUACAUUAGCAUGGAAUAAUAGAAUAGGACGUGUGGUUCUAUUUUGUUGGUUUCUAGGACCGCCGUAAUGAUUAAUAGGGAUAGUCGGGGGCAUCAGUAUUCAAUCGUCAGAGGUGAAAUUCUUGGAUUGAUUGAAGACUAACUACUGCGAAAGCAUUUGCCAAGGAUGUUUUCAUUAAUCAGUGAACGAAAGUUAGGGGAUCGAAGACGAUCAGAUACCGUCGUAGUCUUAACCAUAAACUAUGCCGACUAGGGAUCGGACGGUGUUAGUAUUUUGACCCGUUCGGCACCUUACGAGAGAUCAAAGUUUUUGGGUUCUGGGGGGAGUAUGGUCGCAAGGCUGAAACUUAAAGAAAUUGACGGAAGGGCACCACCAGGCGUGGAGCCUG